UACGAAGGGGGCUAGCGUUGCUCGGAAUCACUGGGCGUAAAGCGCACGUAGGCGGACUCUUAAGUCGGGGGUGAAAGCCCAGGGCUCAACCCUGGAACUGCCUUCGAUACUGGGAGUCUUGAGUAUGGUAGAGGUUGGUGGAACUGCGAGUGUAGAGGUGAAAUUCGUAGAUAUUCGCAAGAACACCAGUGGCGAAGGCGGCCAACUGGACCAUUACUGACGCUGAGGUGCGAAAGCGUGGGGAGCAAACAGGG
rnacentral:rRNA from 1 species